CGACGGUUGAUUUUUAAAAAAUGCAUAGAGAUCACGAUGGGUUUGUUGGUCACUCGUUGCCAAGAGAGAUCCCCCAAUCACGAUCAUCAUAAGCGUAUGAAAAAUGUCAUAAAACACAACAACAUCAACUGAAGAUGAUGCUUAUGCCAUGAAAUGAUCAUAAAGUUCAAGAUAAAGCGGAGACACAGACAAAGUUUUAUGUAAAACAAGACCAAGAUUGGUGAGGCAAAUGGAAUUGUGGGUACACUGACCGAAACUCUUCUUCAAUCUAAUAUAUCUGAAAUAUAAAUAACAAACAUAAAAUACAAAAUAAAAGCUUAUAAUUAUAUGCACCAAAUAAGACUGCAAUAAAUAUUCA